CAUUAAGUGACUGAAACGUAAGUAAUGGUCUCUUAAACCAAAACAUGGUAUUUAACAAUUACCCUUAAUG
rnacentral:tRNA from 1 species